rnacentral:rRNA from 1 species
CCUACGGGAGGCAGCAGUGGGGAAUAUUGCGCAAUGGGCGAAAGCCUGAACCAGCCAAGUAGCGUGAAGGAUGACUGCCCUACGGGUUGUAAACUUCUUUUAUAAAGGAAUAAAGUGAGGCACGUGUGCCUUUUUGUAUGUACUUUAUGAAUAAGGAUCGGCUAACUCCGUGCCAGCAGCCGCGGUAAUACGGAGGAUCCGAGCGUUAUCCGGAUUUAUUGGGUUUAAAGGGAGCGUAGAUGGGUUGUUAAGUCAGUUGUGAAAGUUUGCGGCUCAACCGUAAAAUUGCAAUUGAUACUGGCAGCCUUGAGUACAGUUGAGGUAGGCGGAAUUCGUGGUGUAGCGGUGAAAUGCUUAGAUAUCACGAAGAACUCCGAUUGCGAAGGCAGCUUACUAAACUGCCACUGACAUUGAUGCUCGAAAGUGUGGGUAUCAAACAGGAUUAGAUACCCUGGUAGUC